GUCGCACACGCAACGACGUAACACUCAAACACACAAACGGACAGCGCGGGGGGCGGACAAGCAGGCAGAUAGGGUGGGUAGGUAAAAAGAUAAUCACUACACGGGAGAGAGAGAGAGAGAGAGACGCCCACGACGAGCGUUCGUCGCCUGGGUCAGCCAUAUGCCACGUCAGCCAGAAUGACGUCGUUCUCGCGACGGCGAGAAAAGGAGGAUCGCGCGAUCUGACCGAAUUCCAUUCUGCUUGUUGCGGGCUUUUUGGGAAAAAGAGAUCGCGAGAUCGCUCGCGUAAGGGAGAGAUCUCGCACUAUAGUGAAAAUUUGUAUAUCCGCCGCCCUCCUGGCGAGGGAAAGAGAGAGAAAGAGAGAGAGAGAGAGAGGAAAAGAUUAAAGACCAGCCGAAAGUGCAAAAUAUUCGUAUUCAUUCAGUUCGGUAGGAGAAACUUUUCGGGAAAAAAAAAAAUCCCGCCGAAGACCUCCAAGGUCCUUUUGUGAAAUAUAGAAAGAGAGAAAAAGUCGAAAAUUAAAGAACGAUCGUAACAAAAACGUAAACUGUUUUUCGGGAUACGUAGAAAGAAAACUGUUACGGUUAUUCGCGUGAGAAAACGAGAGACGCAGACAAGAGACGGAGAAAGGGAGAUAAAAGAGGAGACGUAGUCUCUUUCGUAGACUACGUUUCUAGUUUCUACACGGAGAGCGUUUAUUAUAUAGCUCUCUCACAAAUGCUAGCAUUCAUUCGAGCAGCGCGAUUAUUCCGCCAGAGCAAAGACCUGUCGAGUGUGGUCGGUCGAAUCGAUCGUAUGAUCGCUUGAUCGCCGUCCCCGGCCGAUCGGGAGAGGCCGCAGUGCUGAUAUAGGAAAACUGACUCACUUGUUCACUUCGGGGUAACGAGAGCGAGACACGCACAGAUCGUGAUCGAUCUGCGGAACCGAAAACGAAAAUGGCAGUAGAGAGUGUUUCCGCGGCUGAGACUCUAAUCCAAAGCAAUGAUAAUGAUCUGGAAGAUGGAGAAAUUCCAUCAGACGAAGACGACGAGCCUGUCGUUCCUGCAGCAAAUGAUGCAUCAGAGGCUGCUAAACCAACAUCUAAAUCAGAUUCUUCAACAAAUAAAAAUUUUGAUGCAAAGUUUAACAAGAAUAAAAAGCAGCAGCCUGUACAGCCAGCUGGUAAACAUUUUUUGAAGUACAAAAGUCCAACCGAAGAUUGGGCUGGAGAUGUUGAAAAAGCUAUUAAAGCUGCAAUGGAAGAAGAUGGAGGGAGAAAUCAGGAAUCCAAAACAAAGAACAAGAACAAUAGGAAUAAAGUUCGAAAAAGAAUUCGUGAUGAGAAAGAGGAGGAUCGUGGUAAAGAUCAAAAGGUAUGUAAAACAAAGAAACGAAAAUUAAGUGACGAGGAGAAUAUCAACGAGGAUGAAGAUGAAAUGCUUUUUGUACGAGGAGCUUCACCCAUUAGGAAGGAUUCUCAAGAAAAUAAUAAUUCUCCCAGGCGUACAAACGAGCAUGAAAAUUUUGAUAGUAAUUCGGAUUAUGAGGAAAGACCUAAUAUAAAUCGACAUAGAGAAAAUGAUAACAAACGCAGCACUGGACGAGGAGGAGGAGGAGGAGGAGGAGGAAGCGGAGGGGGAGGAGGGCGUCGUGGCAAAAAUGAACGUGGUGGUAAAAACAAAACUCGGAACCAAAUCCGAAACGAUCGAAAUAGUCGUCGGCAACAGAAUAAUGAUCAUGGACAGGAAGCAGAUACAAUUUGUGUAUAUUAUAUGCAAGGAAAGUGUCAUAGGGGAGAUGAUUGUCCAUAUUCGCACAAUGCUUUACCACCUAGAAAAAUGGAAUUGUGCAAGUUUUACCUUAUGGAUUGUUGUGCUAAACGUGACAAAUGUCUGUAUAUGCAUCAUGAUUUUCCUUGCAAGUUCUUCCAUACUGGUUUGAAGUGUAAUCAGGGUGACAAUUGUAAAUUUUCACAUCAGCCUUUAAAUGAACAGGUAAAAGGUAUUCUUCUGAAACAUUUGGAAACUGCACCAAAGGAAAUUCUUGGUGAUUUUCCAAGAUUAAGUAGGGAGGGUGCAAUGUUAAUGAUAAAUAAUACAGCGCGUUCUCUAGCGCAAGGUCAAGAUACAACAAAUCAAAAGAUUCCCAGUCUUUUUGAAUUGAAUCUAUCAGCACCUACAGAAAAAACUGAUGAAAAAGAAGAUAAAGAAGAACAAACAAAUUCACAAAAACAAGCCAACCUUAGGGAGAGAAAGCCUUCUGGUAAGAAGACUCGAUGGGGAUCAGACGAGGAUAGAGUUCCCUACGAGCAUAUUAUGCUAUUACAAUCAGCAAAUGAACUUGGUCUUCAACUUCCAAACGCUGCAUUAGGUUUAGCCACGCAGCAACAAGCACAAAAGCAACCUAUUGCACCUUCAAAUUUCUAUAGCGAAAGAAAUAUAGAAUCAAAUAAAACUGUACAAAAGACGAAAGAAGAUUUUACAAAAGAUGUAGGAGAAGAUGAUAUAUUAAACGAGUCGAAAAAGAGAAAAGACGUUGACUUGAGGCAACUAUUGAACGCAAAGAAACCACCGCCUGUUUAUAGUAUAGCGGAUAAAGUGGCGAGUCUUACGAAAAAUAAACUCGAUGACGAAAGCGAUCAAGACGAAGAAGCGGAACUUUUUAUCGAAGUACCAGCUGAAGAUGAGGACAAGGAAAAAGAAAAACAUCUCGAUAGCGAGCAAAGCGAUCAAGUCCACGACGUUUUCUUUUCUUCUAUGGAUGAACCUGAAGCGGCGCCGCCUUGCCAUUUGCCGAAGAAGGCACAAGAGUUAUUCAUGCGCAUACAGCAGCAGCAACGCGCGGCCCAAGACAGUUUUAAAAAUAUGGAUAACGAUUCCAACGCACGUACCGAUCAAAUCAUCGAGGAUUGGUAUUCGGAUGACGAGGAUGAUGAUGAUGAUGAUGACGAUGAUGAUGAAGGCGGCAAUCUUACUAUAGUGGACAGUUCGAAAGAUGAAAUUGAGACCAUCGAGAAAAACCAGGAUAUCAUUGUCAAAGAAGAGUUUCAGCCCACGCCACCUGCGUCCAACGUGCCUCAACCGGCCGCUAUCGUGGACAAAUUGGGUGAUUUGAGCAAGAUUGACAUCAGUGCCGAAGUGUCUAAACUAUUAUCCACUAUAAAAGCUCAAAGUUCAACGAGCAGUAAAGCACAGCAAGCGGUUAAUUCAAGCCAAGACACAUCCAAAACUAAAUCGGUCCAAGAUCCCAAAUCAGACAGUGAGAUGUCGUCGAGUCCGAGACUAUCACCGGGACCGAGUUCGAUUACUGCACCCGUAUCUAGGGAUCCGCGCAUGUCCCGAGAUCCCAGACAGCGUCGAGAGAUAGAACAGAAGCCAAGCAGCCCAAGCAUAUCCGAUGCUAAGAGAGAAUCGCAGAAGCCUCUCAGGCUGGAAACAAGCAUCUAUAGUUCUGGUAUCACUGCGAUGGACGCGAAUAUGGAUACCGAUCUUCGGACGAGAGCAGAUCAAGAUCUCAGGCGACAGGAUAUGGACUUUCGGCAGCGUUUUCAGACCACCGAGUUCGGCGAUACGGAUCUUCGUGUGAAAUCUGACGUAGAUUUGCGACAAAUACUGAGCCUGCCAUUCAAACCGGCACCCGCGCACGACCCAUGUACCGAAAUUGAUGCGAGUAUCGCGUCGCAUCCGCCGAUGCUGUACAAAGUUUACGUGGUGGACAUACCCAGACCGGAUUAUACGAAACUAACAAAAGAGGACGCGCAGGUCAAAUACGAUCCGCGUCUUCGUAAGAUCUUCCGCAUUGUCCAACCUGAGCUGGCCGACUCACCAAUGUCGCCGCCGCCGCCCCAGGUCAAACAGGAAAUACCAAAAUCUCCACCGCAAUGCACCGUUCGUACAGAUCCGCGACGGAAAACGCUCGAGGCAGCCGCUUCCAAUCAGCAAUCAUCCUCGCAAAACGUGAUCAACGCUUCCAAGGGAAGACAACCGCAACCGAUGGAAGCGAUGGGACCCAAUAUGGGUCUCACUCCGGUCGGUAUGCAAGUGGGACCGCCUGGUAUGUCUGGACCACCGCCUGGCGGUAUGCCAGGUCCACCGCAGAACAUGAUGGGUCCAAUGGGUCCAAAUUACCCGAUGGGUAUGGGUCCAAUGAGGCCUAUGAUGAACCCCAUGCCGCCGCCUAUGGGCAUGCCGCAUGGCGCCGGUGGAAUAGGUAUGAACGGACCCAUUCCGAUGCCAUCCCAGAAUCAGAUGAAUUUCGACCCACGUUUUAACGUGCAACGUAACAAUGGAGCUGGACUGUUGGGUCCUGCGCCCGCUCCUUCGUACGAAGGAGGUCCUCCUUAUCCUUGUGCUAGCAGUUACAAUAAUUUUGGAGGACCCGGCGGCGGCGGCGGAACUGGUGAGCCCGGUAUGAUGGGAUUCAAUCCAAACGGGUCAAAUGGGCCUAGUUUUGGUCCGAUGGGCGAUGAUUGGGGCCCGGGCAACAAUAGACAGCGUGGCGGUCGUAUGCGCCGAAGGAAUCGCAACAGGACCAAUAUAGUGACUAAUAAUUGAAAGAAAUAGCAAGGGAAAUAAAUUAUAUAUAUAUAUAUAUAUAUAUAUACAUACAUAUUGACAUAUAGACUGUGAGCACCUGAUAAUAAUUCUCAUGAGCAAUCAAACUGCAACGUGCUCGAUUGUAUAUUUUAGUCUUUCCAGUUUAUUUUGACGGUAUCACUAUGAGGUUUACAGAUUUAUUAUCACUCUAUAGAUUUAUUCUUAAAUUAUAAAUAUUUAUGUAAAUAUAUAUAUUAUAUAAAUAUUCCUAAUCAUCUUUGCUAUUUACUUUUCACUUAUAUAUUAAAUCUAUAAACGACUACUUAAAAACUUACUCAAAAAAGUUAUGAUUCUAAUAAUUAUUGUAUUAAUAAUAAUUAUGGUCGACAGAUUGUAAACUCUAGUGACGAAGAAAAUAAUAGCUCGCAUCGUAUGUAAUUCUUUAAUAAACGCAGCGGGAGAAACUGCACUGCAUGUAAUGCUCAUACAUGCAUGAUUUUCUAUUUGUAUGGAAAAUCUAUGCGUUCUAAAUAAUGUGCAAAACAUAACGUAUUGAACACAUCCAUCUAAUUGUAAUUUGUCGCAUAAAAUUCUCGAUACGUCGCUAGUGAAAUAUAAUCCGUCAAAUGAAGGAUAUCCAUAGAUAUAUUUCGAUGUGUAUCCACUAGUUUAUAAAUAGGUUCUAUGCAAAAAAGACACUUACCAUAAGUCAUGCUGAAAUAAUUAAUUCAAGAGUAAACGAGCGGAGCAAAUGCGAUAAUAGAAACGUUAAUCAAGAUAAUUUUUUUGUCUUCCAUGCAAGUGGCACGCUGAGUGCGUGCGAUUUUUGCAUACACGUUGUCACUGUACGAUUCGCGAAGCAAGCGGUUUCGUACACUGAUAUGACACGAUCUUUAUCCAUAUUGCGGAAACAUACCGUGGAGUUGUAGAGAAUUUAACGUGAAAUGCAAUAUUUUGUAAAGAAGUCAAUAUAUAGUGCGCGAAAGAAAUUUUGCGGCGUAUAUGAUAUGUAGUACUUUUUUAUAUUAAAAAAAAAUAUGCGCAAGCAUGUAAAUUCCGGUAUUGUAUCGAUUUUUGCUCGAAAUAAUUUAUAUAUUAUAUAGUGCUCAUUCUUGUGCAUCUCAGACAAACUAUUAUUUAACGCUUUAUUAAAUUCUUAUAGAUUUAUGUGCGACUUAAAAUAAUAAUAACGAUAAAAUCUGAGUAAUAGCGAGAAAGGAGAACAAUUUCUCUAGGAUUCGCUCUCGAUUGAUUUUAUUUUAAAUUUCGAAUGAAAAUGAGCGGCGGUUUUAACUGCAAUUCUAUAUACAUUUAUCAAUGUACAAUGGAACUUAGAGGAUCAGCACGUAUCGAUGAUAAGUCCAAUCGUG